GCAGUGGUAGCUUAGUGGUUAAGAUGUUGAUCUAUUGAUCAGAAGGUCAGGAGUUCAAGCUCCAGCACUGCC